GGUUCCGCGGUCACACUGGUUCCGAUUAGAAAGCGGGCUGGCUCCGGGGUCGGACUGUGCCGGGCUUAGAAACCGGGCUGGGUCCAGUGUCAACUGGGUCCAGGUGCAGACCAGUUCCGACUUAGAAACCGGGCUGGGUCCAGGUUUCUAGUGACCAGGAUGAAACCCACUGGGACAGCCCUGUCACUUUGGAGCCUGCAGACAGGAUCCUGGGAAAACUAACAGAAGCCAGCAAAAGGCAUCAAAGCUGAACAUGAUGGUCAUGCUGUUCCAUGCAGCCCUGAAAGACAAACAAAAGAACAAACACACCCCAACGACUUACAACCUGGAGCCAAGGGAGCUCUCCAGGUUGCACGAUGCCUCUAUGAUCCUCCCCUUAAAUAUAAAAGCUGCUUUCUUCAGUAACUGAAAACAAUCAUAACUGUC